rnacentral:rRNA from 1 species
CCGGCGCACGGGUGAGUAACACGUAUCCAACCUGCCGUCUACUCUUGGACAGCCUUCUGAAGGAAGAUUAAUACAAGAUGGCAUCAUGAGUCCGCAUGUUCACAUGAUUAAAGGUAUUCCGGUAGACGAUGGGGAUGCGUUCCAUUAGAUAGUAGGCGGGGUAACGGGCCCACCUAGUCUUCGAUGGAUAGGGGUUCUGAGAGGAAGGUCCCCCACAUUGGAACUGAGACACGGUCCAAACUCCUACGGGAGGCAGCAUG